GAUGAACGCUGGCGGCGUGCCUAAUACAUGCCAGUCGAGCGAACAGACGAGGAGCUUGCUCCUCUGACGUUAGCGGCGGACGGGUGAGUAACACGUGGAUAACCUACCUAUAAGACUGGGAUAACUUCGGGAAGCCGGAGCUAAUACCGGAUAAUAUAUUGAACCGCAUGGUUCAAUAGUGAAAGACGGUUUUGCUGUCACUUAUAGAUGGAUCCGCGCCGCAUUAGCUAGUUGGUAAGGUAACGGCUUACCAAGGCAACGAUGCGUAGCCGACCUGAGAGGGUGAUCGGCCACACUGGAACUGAGACACGGUCCAGACUCCUACGGGAGGCAGCAGUAGGGAAUCUUCCGCAAUGGGCGAAAGCCUGACGGAGCAACGCCGCGUGAGUGAUGAAGGUCUUCGGAUCGUAAAACUCUGUUAUUAGGGAAGAACAAAUGUGUAAGUAACUAUGCACGUCUUGACGGUACCUAAUCAGAAAGCCACGGCUAACUACGUG
rnacentral:rRNA from 1 species